UGCUGAGGUAGGGGCCGCCUCUGAGC
rnacentral:piRNA from 1 species